rnacentral:rRNA from 1 species
AGCCCUACGGGGUGCAGCAGGCGCGAAACCUUCACAACGCGCGAAAGCGUGACGAGGAGACUCCGAGUGUUACAGGCUUAGCCUGUAUCUUUUGCCAAGUGUAAAUAGCUUGGCGAAUAAGAGCCGGGUAAUAUCCCGUGCCAGCCGCCGCGGUAAUACGGGAGGCACAAGUGGUUUCCGUGUAUAUUGGGCUUAAAGCGUCCGUAGCUGGUCCUAAAAGUCUCUAGUGAAAGCUCACAGCUUAACUGUGGGAAGUGCUAGGGAAACUCUAGGACUUGGAGGCGGGAGAGGUAAGGGGUACUUCGUAGGGUAGCGGUAGAAUGUGUUGAUCCUGGAAGGACCACCGGUAGCGAAGGCGCCUUACUAGAACGCGCUCUGACAGUGAGGGACGAAGGCUAGGGGAGCGACCUGCGAUUAGAUACCCAGUUAGUCCUAGCAGUAAAUGAUGCGAACUAGGUGUCA